rnacentral:tRNA from 1 species
GGGCCUGUAGCAUAGUCUGGCUAGUGCACCCGACUGAUAAUCGGGAGGUCCGCAGUUCAAAUCUGCGCAGGCCCA